rnacentral:ncRNA from 12 species
UUCGCCGCGGGCGCAGCGUCCCGGACAUUGUUCCGCAGAAGGAAGCCGGUGGAAUUCCGGCACGGUCGCGCCACUGUAACCGCCCGCAGCAAGGGCGGAAGUCAGACCCGGAGGCGGAGCAUGUGACACC